AGCGAACGCUGGCGGCAUGCUUAACACAUGCAAGUCGCACGGGCAGGGGCAACCCUGUCAGUGGCGGACGGGUGAGUAACGCGUAGGUAUCUAUCCUUGGGUGGGGGACAACCGUGGGAAACUACGGCUAAUACCGCAUGAUGACCGAGGUCCAAAGCUCGCGAGAGCGCCUGGGGAGGAGCCUGCGUACGAUUAGCUAGUUGGUAAGGUAAUGGCUUACCAAGGCGACGAUCAGUAGCUGGUUCGAGAGGAUGACCAGCCACACUGGGACUGAGAUACGGCCCAGACUCCUACGGGAGGCAGCAGUAAGGAAUCUUCCACAAUGGGCGAAAGCCUGAUGGAGCAAUGCCGCGUGCAGGAUGA
rnacentral:rRNA from 1 species